CGCACGGGUGAGUAACACGUAUCCAACCUGCCGUCUACUCUUGGACAGCCUUCUGAAAGGAAGAUUAAUACAAGAUGGCAUCAUGAGGUCCGCAUGUUCACAUGAUUAAAGGUAUUCCGGUAGACGAUGGGGAUGCGUUCCAUUAGAUAGUAGGCGGGGUAACGGCCCACCUAGUCUUCGAUGGAUAGGGGUUCUGAGAGGAAGGUCCCCCACAUUGGAACUGAGACACGGUCCAAACUCCUACGGGAGGGCAGCAUG
rnacentral:rRNA from 1 species